AACGCUAGCUACAGGCUUAACACAUGCAAGUCGAGGGGCAGCAUGUAUCCGGCUUGCCGGAUACGAUGGCGACCGGCGCACGGGUGAGUAACGCGUAUCCAACCUGCCCCGUACACGGGGAUAGCCUUCCGAAAGGGAGAUUAAUACCCGAUGAUGUCAGGAGUUCGCAUGUAAACCUGACUAAAGUUAUUACGGUACGGGAGGGGGGUGCGUUCCAUUAGGUAGUAGGCGGGGUAACGGCCCACCUAGCCAACGAUGGAUAGGGGUUCUGAGAGGAAGGUCCCCCACAUUGGAACUGAGACACGGUCCAAACUCCUACGGGAGGCAGCAGUGAGGAAUAUUGGUCAAUGGCCGCGAGGCUGAACCAGCCAAGUAGCGUGAAGGAUGACGGCCCUACGGGUUGUAAACUUCUUUUAUGCGGGAUUAACGUGAGGUACGUGUACCUUAUUGCAGGUACCGCAUGAAUAAGCAUCGGCUAACUCCGUGCCAGCAGCCGCGGUAAUACGGAGGAUGCAGGCGUUAUCCGGAUUUAUUGGGUUUAAAGGGAGCGCAGACGGCAUGUCAAGUCAGCUGUGAAAGUUCGGGGCUCAACCUUGGAAUUGCAGUUGAAACUGGCGUGCUUGAGUUCGGUCGAGGCAGGCGGAAUUCGUGGUGUAGCGGUGAAAUGCUUAGAUAUCACGAAGAACUCCGAUUG
rnacentral:rRNA from 1 species